CAGUAGCCACGGUAAUACGAAGGGUGCAAGCGUUAAUCGGAAUUACUGGGCGUAAAGCGUGCGUAGGCGGUGAGUUAAGUCUGCUGUGAAAUCCCCGGGCUCAACCUGGGAAUGGCAGUGGAUACUGGCUCGCUAGAGUGUGUCAGAGGAUGGUGGAAUUCCCGGUGUAGCGGUGAAAUGCGUAGAGAUCGGGAGGAACAUCAGUGGCGAAGGCGGCCAUUUGGGACAACACUGACGCUGAGGCACGAAAGCGUGGGGAGCAAACAGGAUUAGAUACCCCCGUAGUCCCUGUCUCUUAUAC
rnacentral:rRNA from 1 species